UACAGAGGUCUCAAGCGUUGUUCGGAUUCAUUGGGCGUAAAGGGUGCGUAGGCGGCGCGGUAAGUCGGGUGUGAAAUCUGGAGCUUAACUCCGAAACUGCAUUCGAUACUGCCGUGCUUGAGGACUGGAGAGGAGACUGGAAUUUACGGUGUAGCGGUGAAAUGCGUAGAUAUCGUAAGGAAGACCAGUGGCGAAGGCGGGUCUCUGGACAGUUCCUGACGCUGAGGCACGAAGGCCAGGGGAGCAA
rnacentral:rRNA from 1 species